rnacentral:lncRNA from 12 species
AACUGGAGUCAGAAAGAAAGAAAUCAGCAAGAGAAUCCAUCAGAGAGAGAUUGAAGAGUCGGAAUGAUCCAAAAUUUGAGCUUGAUCAACAUCAAAAUUAAUCCCCAGGUUUCAGGCCUGCGGCGUAGUACAGUGAAGUCUGAUUGGACGUAGAAGAGGAGGAAGGGUGGCCUCAAGGUUGGAGAGGAGUGAUGAUGAAAGAAGGGAAGGCUCAGCUUCCGCACGCUGAGCUUGAGUUACCUGCGGUCAACCCCAGUCCUGGAGCACAAGGGCUCCUGCAGCCACCAACAGCCACCUGCCAGCACCGUCCACCUCACUUCAUCUCACCACCUAGGCCUCCUGUCAUCUCACAGCAUCACAGAAAGGGUGAGUGGAAAGUACUGUAAGAACUUCACUGUAAGUACUGUAGGAAACUCGGAGAGAGACUACAUUCACAUAACUUUGGUUAUGGUAUGCUAUUGUACUUUUUCUAUUUUAUUAUGAGUUACGAUUAAUCUCUUACUCUCCCUAAUUUAUAAAUUCAACUUUAUCAUAUACGUACAUAUAGGAAAAAUAUGGUGUAUGUAGAGCUCAUUACUAUCUGCAGUUUCGGGAAUCAAUGGGGGUUAUCUAAAGUGUCCCCUGUGGAUAAGACGGGACUAUACCUAAGGAUAUCAGUAGAAUUGAGGGUCAGAGCACUAAAACCCCAGGAGAAAAAUGGCAAAAUACAUUAAAAGGCAAACCACAAGAGAAGUCUAAAAAUGGCUGCCAAAUAUAAAAAAUAUGUUCGUACUCACUCAUAAUCAGAGAAAUGCAAAUGGACACUUGAGAUACCUUUUCUAAUCAGACUGGCAAAAAUUUAAAAAUUAGAUAAUAUGUUCUUUCAUCAAGAUCAUGGGGAAG